CCUACGGGUGGCUGCAGUGAGGAAUAUUGGUCAAUGGCCGGAAGGCUGAACCAGUCAAGCCGCGUGAGGGAGGAAGGCGCAGAGCGUCGUAGACCUCUUUUGCCGGGGGACAAAAGGCCGGACGGGUACGGUUCUGAGGGUACCCGGAGAAAAAGCAUCGGCUAACUCCGUGCCAGCAGCCGCGGUAAUACGGAGGAUGCGAGCGUUAUCCGGAUUUAUGGGGUUAAAAGGGUGCGCAGGGGGGCCUUUAAGCCGGCGGGGAAAUCGCGGGGCUCAACCCCGCCGAGCAGUCGGAACUGGGGGCCUUGAGUGCUGCGGAGGCAUGCGGAAUGCGCGGUGUAGCGGUGAAAUGCAUAGAUAUCGCGCAGAACCCCGAUGGCGAAGGCAGCGUGCCGUGCCGCCACUGACGCUGAGGCACGAAAGCGCGGGGAUCGAACAGGAUUAGAUACCCGGGUAGUC
rnacentral:rRNA from 1 species